CAGGUAGUGUACUUGUUAAACUCAGGUAGUUUGUCCAGGUCUAGCAGGGCAGAGUCAGACAGAGACAGGUAGUGUACUUGUUAAACUCAGGUAGUUUGUCCAGGUCUAGCAGGGCAGAGUCAGACAGAGACAGGUAGUGUACUUGUUAAACUCAGGUAGUUUGUCCAGGUCUAGCAGGGCAGAGUCAGACAGAGACAGGUAGUGUACUUGUUAAACUCAGGUAGUUUGUCCAGGUCUAGCAGG